CAUGGACACACUUUUUAUGCCUUUGGAAAGCAUGGCAGCAACUUGGUAGGGAGCAGAAUGAGUCUUGGUUUUUAAAGUCUCCUUGGAAUGAUGUUCCCUUCCUCACUGUGAACACAGUUUAGCAUUUAUGUACUUUGGAAGGACAAAGAGGUGAGGUAAGCCUGCCAAAAUCGGAACCUGUUUCUGGGAACCUGUUAGGAGGUCAACUGUUAUAAACUGAAGAGAAACUGCAAAACAGCGGUACAUACUAGAAAUUUGGGAGUUGGCCUACAAAUCGCUGUAUUAAAGCCUGUAUCCUGUUUCUUCUUCCACGUCUCAGACAAUGUCUAAGAGAAGAGGACUUUUCUGACUCUGGAGUGCUAAAUAUGGAUGCCACAUCUUUAAAAUAUUGAGCCCUAUGAAGUAAUUCAGUCUGGUCAUUACCAAGCACCCAGAGUCAUCUAUCCUGUUUUAUAAUUCAACCUGCAAACAGAUUAAGCAGUGGAGUUUGUGAGAAGUAUGUUUGCUCUACACUAAGAACCCUUGUGUGACACUAUGGCGACUCCCCUGACACUUCCAAGGGAACUACAGUCAGUUCUUACUCAUCAGCCAGGAAACCAGGCCAAGAAUUCACGGAUUCUUUGUAACAUCAACUUUUUCAUAGAAAUCAGCAUUUGGUUAAGCAGCAGGAGAGACUGUUACCUUUAUGUGUUGAUGUUCUUCUUCCCUAUCCAUAUUGCUCAAAAGAUGCAGGGUGCUCUAUGAUUCAAAAGGCAAUUUACUACUAUAAAAAUCUAUCAACUAAUAGAUUCAUCCUGAUUUUUGAUAUUUUAAUUAUUCUACAAAAAUUUUAAAUGACAAGAACUCAUGUAAAAUUUAAACAAUUGGCUCUAUUUUUCUUUUAGAAAAGUAUGGACAGAAAGAAAGUUCUGAGAGUUGACACAUCUUUUCUUGAAAAUAUGUUUAAAGUUAAAUUUUUCUACAUCCAUUUGUCUGAUUUAUUCACUAUAGAGUUAUAGUUUAUGUGGGCAUUUGAAUUUUACCACUGUAAGUUGGGCCCACAGUAUAGAUGAUAUGGGAAAAAAACUAUUUCAAUGUAAAACCUAAAUGUCUGAGAGAUCGCCUAAACUUAUAAAUAUGUUUGUAAUUACUUUUAUUUUAAGUAACUAUGUGCAGCUUAGGCAUGCUAAGUAUUGCAAAAUGUAUUCUUAAAAUUCCUUUGAAGUUUUGCUUCAGGACACAAGAAGCAUAUCUAUUGAUAGAAAAUAAAAUACAGCACAAUGUGUUGCAUUUUAAAUCUCAUAAUCAUAAAAGCAUUCAUUAGAUGUACUGCUGUCAGUUUUUGCUUGAAUAAAUGGGGACUGGGAAU